CGGGCGGCUGUGUUCAGUGAUGGGGAUCAGUGUGUUCGGGGGAGCCGCCGGUCGGACACACGGCGCCGGAUCCGCGGAGGAAUGAGCUCCGGAAAACACUUCAACACGUGAUUUUACCGACAGCAUAGAGCCGGCGUGAUUCUCCAGUUCCUGCAGGCGGAGAACACUUGAGGAUCACGGUGUGGAAGAGGAUCUUUUCCGCUCCCUCGUGGCAGGAAACUGAAGACCACAAGCCUCUGUUUACCAAAGGACGUCUCCUCCAGGGUGUGUGUCUCUCCCUGGUGGAACCAUGCAGCUGCUCUAGGGGGGUG
ensembl:lncRNA